rnacentral:rRNA from 1 species
AAACUUUCAACAACGGAUCUCUUGGUUCUGGCAUCGAUGAANAACGCAGCGAAAUGCNAUAAGUAAUGUGAAUUGCAAAAUUCAGUGAAUCAUCGAAUCUUUGAACGCACAUUGCGCCCGCCAGUAUUCUGGCGGGCAUGCCUGUCCGAGCGUCAUUU